rnacentral:lncRNA from 1 species
CAUAUCAGUCCCUAAACAAAGCCCAACCAUCACAAACAACAAAUCAGAAGCAUCAAGAAGCCAGAAAUCAAAAAUCAAGCUUGAAAAGGUAGGAAAUCCUAAAUUCUAGAAAUCCUUCGAUUCGAUGUUAAUUGAUGCAAUUGAUUGUUUAAAGUAGUGUAAUAGAGAGUCUAUUAAUGUUCUGGGUUGUAAAAUCAUGAACCCAUAACAUCAAAGUGCACGAAUUUGAAGAUUUAAACAAGUUGGAAAAACCGAAUUCUGUUAUUUUUCACCAAAUGUCAGAGGCUAUAACUCUUUGGUCGAUCUCGAGUUUUGUUGUUUAAAAGUUGUUAUAGGUAGCCUGAUAUGUGGUCUUUAAUCUCCAAAAGGAAUAAAGUUCAUAUCUAUUGUAGAUCGGGAUUUAUAAGCGGUCAAAGUGGGUUGACCGGCAUUGACCGGCUGUUCUUCAAACCCAGAAAAUAUUCUAAGUGUCCAGAAAAUAUUAUUUUGGAAAAUGUCAGGCCUUAUAUCUCGGUUAUCUUUAAUGUGUUUUGUGUUCUAAAGGUUGUUAUGUGUAGCUUGUUAUGUGGUAUUUAACCUCCAAAACGAAUCAGGUCCAUAUAUAUUAUGGAUUAAGAGUUAUUUAAGGUCAAACUGGGUUGACCGGCAUUGACCGGAAAAUUCUGGGCAGCCCAGAAUUUUCUAAGUGUUGAUUUUUCUUACAAUGUUUGACCAUACUUUAAAUGCUUUAUUUAUUGUUGUUAUGAUGAUGUUAAGUGUUGGAGUUGUAGUCCUACAUGUUGUCUACACACUGGAAUUGAUAGAUCACAUAAACGUUACACGAUCAUCAAGUUAUAGAGGUCCAAAGUAGGCACCUCGAACUGUUCUUCGUGAAGAACAGCUUUGGUAGCUACUUUGAUGGCUGAUUUAUCCCAGAUCNN